rnacentral:rRNA from 1 species
GACGCUGAUGUUGCCUGUGUAGGAUAGCUGGGAGGCUUAGAACCCGUGACGCCAGUUGCGGUGGAGCCAGCCUUGAAAUACCAGCCUGGCAUCAUUGGCGUUCUCACUUAGGUCCGUGAUCCGGAUCAAGGACAGUGUGUGGUGGGUAGUUUGACUGGGGCGGUCUCCUCCCAAAGGGUAACGGAGGAGCACGAAGGUACCCUCAGCACGGUCGGACAUCGUGCAAUGAGUGCAAGAGCAUAAGGGUGCUUAACUGCGAGACCGACACGUCGAGCAGGUGCGAAAGCAGGUUCUAGUGAUCCGG